rfam:Ovis aries breed Texel chromosome 12, whole genome shotgun sequence.
UCCCUGGUGGCUCAGCGGGUAAAGCAUCUGUCUGCAAUGCAGAAGACCUGGGUUCGAUCCCUGGGACGGGAA